GCUUAACUCUUUAUAUCAAAACGAAAAUGGCGGAAGAUUGGCGCAGUGAAGCUUUCAGACGCAAAGUCAUCGCUCAAAUAGAUGAAGCCGUGAGGAUGGCUGCUACUCCAAUGACCAAAUCUAGCAUGGAGAUGGAAAACCAUGUGUUCCUGAAAGCUAAGACCCGUGAGGAGUACUUGGCCCUCGUAGCUAGACUCAUCCUUCAUGUCAAAGGGAUAAGUAAGUACUUGUUA